rnacentral:rRNA from 1 species
GACGAACGCUGGCGGCGUGCCUAACACAUGCAAGUCGAGCGGAGUUAUAGCAAUAUAACUUAGCGGCGGACGGGUGAGUAACACGUGGGUAACCUGCCCUAUAGAGGGGGAUAGCCAACCGAAAGGUUGAUUAAUACCGCAUAACACUACACUGUCACAUGACAGAGUAGUCAAAGGAGUAAUCCGCUAUAGGAUGGACCCGCGGCCCAUUAGCUAGUUGGUGAGAUAACGGCCCACCAAGGCGACGAUGGGUAGCCGAUCUGAGAGGAUGAACGGCCACAUUGGAACUGAGACACGGUCCAGACUCCUACGGGAGGCAG